CUCGUGAUGAAUAACUGCCUCCCGUCUUCGGAGAUUCAUGAUUCCCACCGCUUGCAGCACACAGGUCCCCGGGGGAAUCCCAUUUCCUCGGCUGGGCUGCGAUUCGGUUUCCCAAAAGGCGCGGGGGCCUCCCUGCGUUUAUCACAUCUGCACCCGCUGUGAUCAAUCAGCGCGCAUGCCUUCACCUUCUGUGUGGCCAGAGGACACCCCGUUCCCCGCCAGUGCCUCCGUCAGAUCUCCUGCCAGCGCAUACCUUAGCACAGCUCCUCGGCGCUCACAGAAACGCAAAGGCAAAAGUGCAAUGUUUAAGGCUUAUCCAUAAGAACAUGUAGGAAGAUGUAAUCGAGAAGAGGAAGAUCAUUUUUGAACCUUUUGAGUUAAGAAGAAAUCUACCGAGCAACAGCCUGUUAUCCAUAUUUGCUAUCAUCAUCUCGUAGUUAGUGCCCAUAUUAGCAGUAUUUUUGGAGAAGUCUAUCAGUGUCAAACAUGACCACACAAGUGCCCAGACGGACAGAUCACUCUUUAUGCCAUAAAGCAAACUUGCUCCAUUUUGUGGAGUCAGGUGUAAGGACAGCAAACAUAUUCUUAUUCUGCCUUUGAUUUCUGCUUUCCAGAAAUACACCCAUUGCUUGGUGUCUGCCUCUAUUUACCUGCCUGCAUCUGCAGUACUCUGGGAAACAACUGCACUAAAAGCCAUUCACCCUCAGCCCCUCCUCCAGUUCCUCACCAGCUGACCUUGGGAAUCAUUUUACCAGGAGUGCCAACUCAUCACACCAGUAACCAUGGAGCCACCUCCUAAGCUUUUAACAACUUGCCAGUGGGCCAAAAUGGACCUAUUUCCCCUUGGUAGACUCAUUAAUACAUAUGGCUGAGACCCAAUCUCCCCCUGCUGUGGCUGGCUACAUUAUAUGGCUCAAAUGCAGCCCUACUUUUCCUACGUGGGAAUUCUGUCUAGUAUGGUGUAGGAUGGAGGUAAUGAGCCAAGUUUUCCCUUGGCAGGCUUGGAUGGUACUUAUUACAAAGUUUCCAUGAAGGAGCAGCUUCUGCGCUGAGAGAGAGACGGAAACGCAAUUAUGGCCAUCCAUUAAAUUGUGGAAACAUGACUUUGCAAAUCAUGCAAGUCUAAGAACGUCUCUUCACUUUCCACUGAUACGAAGCGGACACACUGACAUACUUUCCACUGACACAUACUCUUCACAGAUGACACUGCUACUGAAGACAUAUUUGGACAAACACUAUUCAGGUCGCAGGCAAAAGCCAAGAGAAUACUUACUCAUUGUUAACACAUAUUCCGUACUGUUAUAGCUUGGAUUAAAGCAUGUCAAAGCCAGUGCUUAUAAUCACUGCCCUAUCUUGUAAGAAGUCCAAUAGACUAUUUUAAGGUAGCAGAUAGCUAAAAUAGCGGUGUGCAAAUGCAAAACUGGAAUAUACUUCCAUUCCCCUAAAAGACAUACAAGUCUACUCAGAAAUCUGAACUACUUGGGCAGUAGGGGUUUGUUUACUGUUAGUUUUGGCAGAGAUAUAUAUAAAUAAGAAACAGCUCAAGUGGACAGCAGGGACAGAAAAAUCAAGACGGUCAAGAAAAACCUGGCACCUGAACCAACACUGGUAUUGCAGAACACCUAAAACUGGAGAGGGAACAGGACAUAAGGGUCUUGGCUGAACAGAGCUGGUAUAGUAAGCAGGAAAACUGCUUUUGGUUGCUUUUCUCCAUCUGCAUUCAAGAUUUUAUAUUUCCUCAUAAAGGAAUUGAAUCGCAUUAAUAAUACCUGAUCCAUUCCUUCACAGUUUCUUUCCCUACCUGGAAGUAAUCUACAAAGCACUGCAUGUUGACCAACCUCUUGGGUAGAUUAUACCAUCAAUGUAUAAAGUGGGGUGGUAUGACAUAAGACCAUCUUUUGAUUUUUAAGAGCACAAUAAUGCUUUCUUUAGGCCAAGGAGGUAAGACCCUGCCAGCUAGUCAUCAGUGGUACCCUGCCUCUGAGGACCUGCGGCCUCAUUUGAGUGUCUCUGAAAAUCCCCUGCCAUUUUGGCAGAGGCAAUUUCAAGUCAGACAAAAUCUUUCUGACAUUUCUAGAUUGAGGUUUAUGGUCAUGAAGGUGAUGAUAAGGUAGGCUGUAGAGAAUAUAAAGUGAAGAGUAAAUUUUAGGCUUAUUUCAAUCAAACAGUUUGUGUUUUAAAGUAAGAUUAAAUUACUGGAGCCUGGCACAGAAAAUAAAAGACUUUUAACUGAAUCUUUAGUAUGUGGCACAGAUACUUAAAGAAAAAGCUGUGUACCUCAGGAGUAUCUGUCAUUUUGGGGGGCACUGCUCAGCUCCUGCUCAUGGCCUUUCCCAGCCAGGCCCCGUGCUCAGCCCCUGCCAGGGGACCCGCUCCUGCGUCCCUCACUCACAUCCUAGAUUAUCAGAAACACCUCCUUUGUGCUGCUUCCUACCCUGCCGUACACACUCCCAAAGGGCUCCUCAAAAGCGUCUGCAAUGUAACCUAUUACUCCCCCUUCAAAGAUUUUAAUAAUCUCCUCUUCUGCAACACCUACAAAUCUUGACAAGGGGUAUCUAAUACUAGAUUGCUGAUGUGUUGAGGACACUGCUAUCAAGAUGACUGAUAACGCUGCAUUGUUUCUUCUGGUUUCCUGUCCCUCUGUCUGGUCCUCCUCCGUACACUUAGCCUGUAAGCGUUCUGGGACAGAAAGAGAUCUUUUGGGCUGCAUUUAUACAUCAUCUAGCAAAAUGGGACUAGGCUCUGCAGCAGGACUUCUGGUGCUACAGAAAAAUAAAAAAUAAUCACAGUAUCACAAAGUUUAGUUGGCUUUGCUACUGCUUUGAAUUGAAUUCCAGAAGAAAGUCCAGUGAUGAGUUGCUUUUCCCUGGUGGAAACAUUUUACAUAGGGACGAUUUUAAAUGCACAAAUAUUGCUAUAUUAUGUUAAGACUAAUAACAGCCAAAAACAACAAUUCACAUCAAAAUAUAACAUGCAAGUAUAAAGCAAUUUAACCUCUGCCCAAAUACAACCAAUAUCUUUUGGUGACAGAAAUCUAUAAAGCUACAUAGAGAAAAAUAAUAAAUGAAAGAAAGCUCAGAGAUCACAUCCAUUCAUUCUAAGCCCUGUGUCAUCUGAACACAACCUAUUUAUUAAGACUGGCAGAAAAAUUUUAUUUAAAGUUGGCUUUCAUGAGAAAUGUGGUGUUCAGCAAAACACCUUUCACAAAAGGAAUGUCUCAGGCUUUCAACAAAAAGCAGUUUUUGUCCUGUUUCUGUUUGAUGGAAAAUGGGUGUGAAAAAGGAGGUAAGCAGGUUGGGGGGGGGAAUCUACACAAAUCUUACUAGAAUGCCCUCACACUAGUUAAUCUGAGCGAAGUCAUGGAAUAAUUUGUUAUUCCUGCACAGAAAGUCUUUUUUGCUCUGUUUCUUGGCUCAUUGUCAGAAAGGACAAAACAGCCUGAAGGAGCAUGUUCCAGAAAAUGACGGGACUUGGUGAAACUGCACGUACAGUCAUCCAUGGUAGCUGCACUCUGCGUAUAUGUGUAAAUCCAACCGGAGCAACCUGCCGCUCUCCUUUGGAGAAUAGCUCAGAGUAGGAAGAUGAAAAGGGAAAAACAAGGAGAGAAGGAAAAGUAACAUGCAAGCUGUUGCAGCUUAUGGAGCACAACUAUCAUUCAUCUCGAAAGAAACCUCUCUGUUAUCAGGAAACAACAGUGCAGGGUCAGCUUUUGCUAGGAAGAGCAAACCCAAAGCACGUGGGCACCUCACCUUUUACUUUACUUCAAGGAGAGUAUUUUGGAAAUGAGUCUAACACAGGGUUCAAUCCUUUACUACUUCAUUUUAGUUUGAGACUGCUGUAUUUCUGCUAGGGUCAGUGACGUAUCUAACAUUAAAGUAAAAUGGUGAUUACAUAGUCCCAGCAUUUCAUUAUUAGCAUUCUCCUCCUCCUUCUGCAAAGCUGAAUGUUAGUGUUCACGUAAUAUUUCUUCCAAA